UCACUAGUCCAUGGGGAAGGCAGACGAUAACUUUAGAUAAUCCAAUCAUUGGUGUUUAACAGACAACGUGGGUUUCAGUGCCAUGGCCUUUAACUGUGCUAAGCCAAUAGUCAACCCACCUUCACCUCUAUCAGCAGUGUCCCCAUCUCUUAUCCUUUCUUUGUCUUUCUGUUAAAUACUUUCUAUCUAGUACUUCUGCCCUCUGUAAAUCCAUUCAUAGCAUCUGAUGAAAUUGUCUCUGAAUUAAUUAGCCACCCUACCUUGCCUUCUGCCUAACUCUAAACUAACAUGGCUAACUACCUCUAUCACUAGCUUGUGACAGCAGAAAAAUGAGAAAACUAAAGCAAAGAUCUGCAGCUGGUGCUCUGUGGCUAGAAGACCCUUUCCCUAUCGGCAUGGCUCCUGGAAGCCCCAUCUGGCCCAGAGGCCAGGAGCAAGGCAGGAUGUGUCUGGAUGCCAGAGACAGAGCCAGACACACUCCCUGCCCCCAGAAGCAACCAGAUGCUUCUCCUGCCAGCCAGCGAGCCCAGGGAAGCAGCGUAGGCAUGCCUCAGCCAGGAUGCAAUAAGGAUGGGAGCACGCAUGCCUCAUCCAGGAAGCAGAUGGAGAAGAGCCAGGUGUGGCUCCAGCAGCCAGCUGGGAGCCAGUUCCACAUGCUAGGAGUGAGUGAUCCGGACUGAGCCAGCGGGGCCCACCAGCCCACAGAGUGUUGAGGCCCAGGGGCAACACUGAGCCUCUUGACUCCACUCACAGACAACCUGGUACAACAAUGAUCUCACUUGUCAUCGCAGCAGAAGGAUCACCCAGGGCAGCAACGGUCAGAUGGGUAUGAGAGAGUGCAGCCCAGUGGGCUCUGUGGGCACUUGGCAAGUGUAAGCCCUGGAGGUACAGCCCACAAAUCCCACCCACCCCCACAGUGUGGCUGCACACCUGAAGUGCUCCAACAGAGGACAACCUUGAUAUUCAGCCCUGAGCAAGCCCACCGGGGUUGAUGCCCUGGUACACUUGGCCAACUAGCUGGCUGGGCAAGUAGCCCAAAUGGCACAAAGGGUCAGAGGAAUGGACCCUCAAUCCCUGGUGCUCAAAAUCAAGCAGUUCAGCAUGGGGACAAUGGUACCCUGCCCACCACUCAGACUGAGCUACAUUACGUUGUUCUUGUGGUGGCAUUUUUUUUCUCGGAGAGUGGCAGGACCAUGGGGAGAUCCCUGUGGCACCUGUGCUCUGUCAAGCCAUUGUGUCAGAAAUGACCUGUGACUGUCAAGGUGCAGCCUAGAUAUACAAUAACACCCAUAUGGAAAGGGGUAGGGUGUAGGGGAGGAGAAGCCCCACUGAAGAUGCACCACAGAGGGCAUUCCUGAGCUGUGUAGGAACCACUGAGCAACAUCCCAGAGGUACCAGGAACAGCAAAGUCAUGGCAGAUGACUAGGUUCAGGUGCAGUCUUCCCUAGUUGACAUGGCAAGGGCCUGUCACAGAAGGAUUUGUUUGGUGUUGGUAUAAAAUGCUGUAGGAAUAGAUUUCAGGCCCAAUUACUUUGAACAGUCAUUUCAUUUCCAUUUACCCCACCCCUUAUUUAAAUUUAGCACAGCACAUGAAGUCAAAGUACCCAGCCUGCCAGGCUGUCCAUGGGCCCAGUAACCUGGCAGCAGGGGAGUAUGAGAGUCUGAAGGAUACCAACCUAGAGUUCAACCCCGGCCGGGAGCACGGAUCUCACCACACCAGGACAUCCAUGCUGUGACGGGAGCUUCCCAUCUGCACCAGCCAGGCUUUACCUCCUCGCCAGGUGAAGCGGAUUGGGGCUAAUCUGCAGUGCAAGCAAUAUCCAGGCACGGGAAAUGGAGCCAAGGGGGAAGAGAAGGGAGAAGACCGGGAGCAGGGGAUGCACGAGGAGGGUGGCGACAGCUGGGUGAGCUCUUGGCCGGAUUCCGAAAAGGAGGUAAUAUUCCCACCACUGGAGUGAAGAGGCAGUGGGAAGCUUAGUGGGGAGAGACCCAGGAAACAGUGGAGGUGGCAGAUCCACCCAAACCAGCUGCCGUGUGGUUCUUUUUUUCCCGUUUUUCCCCCCCUCCUUUUGAUGUUUCCAGUGUCUGCUUGAGACCCCGGACUGGGACCCAGCAUCCAUCUAUGCAGGUAAGCCUAGAAGAAGUCCCCAUCUCAUUAAGUGGCAGACACCACCAAUUAAGCCCCAGUGGAGGCAUCAGAGCAAGCCGUUGGCAGGCUUAAAGGGGCAGUGAAGCCCCAGCCAUCUGGGACUGGACUUUGAUAGCGUCCUGAGGGCAGGUGAAGACCAAGCCCUAGGACUUCAGUUAAAACCCAAAGAAAAGAAAAAAAAAAGAUAUAGUAAAAAAAAUUAAAAAGGAAAAGAGUAAAGAAAUUGGCCUCAUGUGGGUCCCUUCAUCAUUUUAUGCUGAGGCUUUGGGCACUGAGGCAACCCCGACGGUCAAUCCGGGUGUAGGACAGGUAGUCAUCAUCUCCCUUUCACAAACCUCUCUUUGUCAUCAAAGUCAUGGCAGGAGAAAAGAAAGGGCACCAGACCUCACCUGAAUCUACUUUAGGGGUUGCAGAUACCCUGAGGGGACCAGUAAAUGUCAGUGGGAAAUAGGGGUACACGCCUGUACCUGGUGACUACCCGACAACUUAGUGCAUUGGCUGGGAACUCCAACAACGGCCCAGAAGAAACAGAGAAGAUGGAAGUCCCCAUGGUAGCAGUUGCGGUGGGAAUGGACCUGGUCCAGCAGACACUGCAUUUACGGGACAGAUCCUCCAGCAACAGCAGCAACAAUCAGCACAACAGCUGGCCUUUGAAGAAAAUUGGAUCCAACAGCAGGCGUGCCAGCAGCGGAACGCAGUAGAACUAAAGAUCCCUAAGAUGAUGGUUCACAAUGAUCCAGAGAUGUUCCUUGGAAGCUUUGAAUGAGCGGCCCUGGCCACAGGACUAGAAAAGUCUCGGUGGGCUGGGAACCUUGGAGUCUUGCUGACUGGAAAGGCACAGGUAGCCUAUGGGUCCAUGUCACGAGAAGAGGCCAGGGACUAAGAUAAAGUCAAGAAAUAAAUGUUGAAUAGGCUAGAUGUUAACCCCGAAACUUAUCGUCAAGCUUUUAGGGCCUGGAAACCCCAUGAAACUAAGGAGCCAUGAGCGUUAUUACAGUGGCUGGCUAACCUGGUUUCCAAGUGGCUGAGGCCCCUGGAAAGUUCUAAAAGUGCAAUUUGAGACAAAAUUCUGCUGGAUCAGUUUCUAAACAACUUGGACAAAGAGACCCAGAGGUGGGUCCACUGUCACAGGCCAGGGUCAUCCACCAAGGCAUUGCAAUUGGCUGAAAAUUUCUGGAGUGCCCGAGGAGAGAGACUGUCAGAGUGAGGUCCCAGGGUGUCAGGACCCCUGAGACCCCAUGACAUCACCAGGCCAUUGAACUGGGAGCGACGGGAAAAUAGAAGUCCUGACAAAGGUGGGGUGGUCUGCUUCCAUUAUGGAAGGGCAGGGCACAUGUCCUGAGAGUGCACCUACACGUCACGAGCCCUCACACGGACCACGCAUUCGCCAUUCACAGAGUUGAGUGUAUCCUCAGGCCUGGUGGACUCCCCCGGAGCUGAAUCUAUGGAUUGUAGCGUGGAGAAAGAUGCAUUGGCAGGUCCUGGGCCGCGUCCAAUGGUCAACACUUGGGUUGGGGGUGAAAGAUUGGAAGCAAUCAUCGACACGGGCUGCUCCGAUACCUGCAUCCAAAGCAAGCUGGCCCCCUCCAUGUAUGUGCAAAAGGCCAACCCUGUGAAGAUGACAUGCAUGCAUGGGCAUAGUACUUUUUACCCACGGUGGGUUUAUGAGGUCAUGGUACUGGGCACCACUCGAGAGAUGCCAAUCAGGCUGGCAAGGGACCUACCAUACCCCAUGAUCCUGGGGUGGGAUUGGCACAAAAUUUAUGAGGUACUCAAGGUGACAAGAAAUGUUGGUGUAGGAGGGGUUGGACUGGCUGAAGACACAACUGAAGACCUUGACCUCGAACAGCUGACAGGCAACAGAGCUUUCCGAAAGGCCCAGGAGGAAGAGUGAGAAUUCCAGUCUAUAUGAGAAACAGAGCUGGCGAAGGUGGAAGACGAAGUAGUAGACCCGGCCUGCUAUGCACACCUCCCCCGAUUUGAGGUUAGAGAUGGUUUAUUGUACCGGGUGAAACAGGGCCCUUCAGAGGGAAUGGAGAUAGCUCAAUUACUGAUACCUAACCAGUUUAGGCUUCCCCUCCUGAAGCUAGCACACGGGAACCCAAUGGGGGAGCAUAUGGGGGCCCAUAAGAUGGAAGCUAGAUUAACCAGGUGGUAUUUCUGAGCCGGACUGUACAACUAGGUUGAGAAGUUUUGUUGUGCCUGCCCUGCAUGUCAGAUGGUGAGUGGGAACCGGCCAGCACAAGACUACGCAAUCCGGUUCCCGGAAGCAGUCCUGAUGCGGUCAGUCACGGGGCCCCAUGUGGUGGAAGAACUUAUGAAAUGGAUAGUCCAGGUAGGCAUCCCUAAAGAAAUUGUCACCGAUCAAGGGUCUAACUUUAUGUUGGAAGUCAUCCGCAGUUUGUGUAGGUUCCUGCAAAUCACACAUCUUCACACAACCAUCUACCACCCACAGACUAAUGGGAUGGUAGAGAGGUUUAACCAGACCCUGAAGAAUAUGCUGAGACGGUAUGUACAGGUAGAACCCCGGCGGUGGGACCUGAUGGUUCCACCAUUGUUAUAUGUGGCACGGGAGGCCCCUCAGUCAUCAUUAGGGUGUUCCCCAUUCGAUCUGGUAUACAGGCACUGGCCCAGAGGCCUGUUAGAUCUAGUCAAGGAAGGGUGGGAAGCCAGACAGGAGGAAGAACUGAACUCCUCAGAAUAUGUGCAGAGCUUGCAAUGGCAUCUAUGGAGGGCAGGAGAACUGGCCCAUGAGUGCCUGAGAGCAGUCCAACAAUCUCAGAAAUCUGCAUAUGAUAAAAGGGCCCAAGAAAGGGGACUCCGGGAAGGCCAAAAAGUCUUGGUAUUACUCCCUGACACCAAGAAUAUGCUUACAAAGUGUUGGCAAGGGCCUUUUGUGAUAACUCGCCAAGUAGGUCCCGUAGACUAUGAGGUUCUUAAGCCAGGAUCUUGAAGGGUGAGGCAAAUUUACCAUAUUAACCUCCUUAAAAAAUGGUGGGAGCAGGAAGGCCUGUUAAUUACCCCAUCUCUGCCAGAGGACAAAUUCGGCUGAGAGUUAGGUCCCAGUGCGGGAUUAGAGGCUGGUGAUCUAGUUGUCCUGGUCGGGUUCCAACUUGACCUGAGACAACGGCAUCAGAUAGAGGCCUUGGUAAAAGAGUUCUGCAAUGUCUUUAGUGAAAAUCCCAGGUGUGCAACAGAGAUAACCCAUUGCAUAGUUACACCCCCAGGGCAAGUUGUCAGGGAAAAGUGGAGGAGGAUUCCUCAUGAGGCCAUCCGCACCAAAUUAGCUAAAAUGCUGGAACAGGCCAUAAUCCAAGAGUCACGGAGUCCCUGGCAGAGCCCCAUCAUCGUGGUUACCAAGCCUGAUGGAUCCAUCUGACUAUGUAUCGACUUUAGGAAAGUGAACACCAUUUCCAAGUUUGAUGCCUUCCUGAUGCCCCAGAUCAGUGAGCUUCUUGAGAGAGUGGAGCAAGCCCGGUUUAUCUCCACCCUAGAGCUGUCCAAGGGAUAUUGGAAGACAGGGCCAAGACAGCCUUUGGCACCCUGUGGGGGUUAUAUGAGUUCAGAAGAAUUCCCUUUGGGUUGCACGGAGUGGCUGCUACUUUCCAACGAUUAGUUGAUUGGGUGUUAGCCCCGCACCAACAAUACUCGGCCGCUUAUAAAGACGACAUCAUAAUCUGUACCCAGGAAUGGGAAGAACACCUCAAAGCAGUGAGAGCAGUGCUGUGCAAGUUACACCAAGUUGGUCUAACAGCCAACCCCAAGAAAUGCGUCCUGGGUAAGGCAGAGACCAAGUACCUGGGAUUUUUGGUAGGGCGAGGGCAAGUCCAAUCGCUAGCUAAUAAAGUAGAGGCCUUACGUCAGUUCAAGCCACCACAAAACCGCAGGCAACUGAGGGCCUUCCUGGGACUAGCCGGAUAUUACAGGUGAUUUAUACCUGAGUUCGCCAAUAUCACCGCACCCCUCACUGACCUGUUACAACAGAAAAGAGGAGGUUCUCUCUCAUAGAACGCAGAAAGCACCCUCGCCUUUGAACGCACCAAGAGGGCCCUCUGCCAUGAGGCAGUAUUAAGCACCCCAAAUUUUUAAUUGCUUUUCACCUUACAGACGGAUGCAUUGGAACGAGCCAUGCUGUCCCAGGAAAUUGAUGGAGCCUCCUGACCUGUGGUCUAUGCCAGCUGGAAACUAAGUCCACGUGAAAGAAGAUCUCACGAGGACAAAGACAGAAAAGAGCCCGGGGUGGCAAACAUAGAUCCAGUCAUGUUGAGGACCCCAAACAUGAGUACGCCUAAUGUGUCUGCUUGAGAGCCUGGACCAGGACCCGGCAUCCAUCCACGCAGGUGGGCCUAGAAGAAGUCCCCAUCUCAUUAAGUGGCAGACACCACCAAUUAAGCCCUGGCAGAGGCAUCAGCAACAAAGUAUCUAGGGGAGUCCCUGGCGGAGAGCAAGCCGCCAGCAGGCUUAAAGGGGCAGAGAAGCCCCAGCCAUCUGGGACUGGACUUUGAUGGUGUCCCGACAGCAGGCGAAGGCCAAGCCCUAGGACUUCAGUUAAAACCCAAAGAAAAGAAAAAAG